rnacentral:rRNA from 1 species
GACUACUGGGGUAUCUAAGCCUGUUUGCUCCCCACGCUUUCGCUUCUCAGCGUCAGGAAAGGUCCAGAGAACCGCCUUCGCCACCGGUGUUCUUCCUGAUAUCUGCGCAUUCCACCGCUCCACCAAGAAUUCCGUUCUCCCCUACCUUCCUCUAGUCUGCCCGUAUCGAGAGCAGGCUCAGGGUUGAGCCCUGAGUUUUCACUUUCGACGCGACAGACCGCCUACAAGCUCUUUACGCCCAAUAAUUCCGGACAACGCUCGCACCCUACGUAUCACCGCGGCUGCUGGCACGUAGUUGGCCGGUGCUUCUUCUGCAGGUACCGUCAUUUUCACUUCGUCCCUGCUGAAAGCGGUUUACAACCCGAAGGCCGUCAUCCCGCACGCGGCGUUGCUGCGUCAGGCUUUCGCCCAUUGCGCAAUAUUCCCCACUGCAGCCCCCCGUAGG